CGGAGGGUGCGAGCGUUAUCCGGAAUUACUGGGUUUAAAGGGUGCGUAGGCGGCUUGGUAAGUCAGGAGUGAAAGUUUGCGGCUCAACCGUAAAAUUGCUUUUGAUACUGCCAGGCUAGAAUCAGGAUGAGGUCAGCGGAAUGUGGCAUGUAGCGGUGAAAUGCAUAGAUAUGCCAUAGAACACCAAUUGCGAAGGCAGCUGGCUAGACCUGUAUUGACGCUGAGGCACGAAAGCGUGGGGAGCGAACAGGAUUAGAUACCCUGGUAGUCCACGCCCUAAACGAUGCUUACUCGACGUAUGGCGCUAGACGUUGUGCGUCCAAGGGAAACCGUUAAGUAAGCCACCUGGGGAGUACGACCGCAAGGUUG
rnacentral:rRNA from 1 species